rnacentral:rRNA from 1 species
UUUGAACCCAGCUUUGCGAAGGGAUCAGCUGGCUGGUUCCGUGAGGUGACUUCUGCCCAGUGCUCUGAUUGUCAAUGCGAAGAGAUUCAGCCAAGCGCGGGUAAACGGCGGGAGUAACUAUGACUCUCUUAAGGUAGCCAAAUGCCUCGUCAACCAAUUAUUGACGCGCAUGAAUGGAUCAACGAGAUUCCUGCUGUCCCUAGUUGCUGUCUGGUGAACCAACAGCCAAGGGAACGGGCUUGGAUGUGUCAGCGGGGAAAGAAGACCCUGUUGAGUUUGACUCUAGUUUGAUGCUGUGCAACGACAUGUUGGGUGUAGCACAGGUGGGAGACAAGUGCCAUUGCCAAAGUCUGACGCCACUGGGCAAGUGGUGAGUUGGACUUCAGAGAGUUGUCACUCAAGGCCUUGGUGCAAGCCAGCAGUGAAAUACCACUACCUUCACCGUCGUAGUGCUCAUUGAGUGAUCUGGGAACGGCAGCCGUUAGACAUCAGCCUUUCCCUUGCGGAAGGGUUGUGGCCCAUCCCCGCUUCGAGCGCAAAGUGUGGCACUCUGUGUCAUGCGACCCUGGAGCUGCAUUCCAAUCAGAAGCCUCAAGACACUGAUCAGUUGGGGAGUUUGGCUGGGGCGGCACGCCUGUUACACCACAACGCAGGCGUCCUGAAGCAAUGCUCAGAUGGAACAGAAAUCUCCCAUAGAGGAGCAGGCCAAAGGUGCUGCUGAUGCUGCUGCUCUCAGUACGAGCACGAAACGUGCAAGCGUGGCCUUGCGAUCCUUUGGUUAAGUGCACGAGUUCAGGAUACUGAAGCCAGAGGUGUCAGAAAAAUUACCACAGGGAUAACUGGCUUGUGGCAGCCAAGCGUUCAAAGCGACGUUGCUUUUUGAUCCUUCGAUGUCGGCUCUUCCUAGCUUCCCACUCGCAGCCGGGUGGAAGAGUUGGAUUGUUCACCCACCAACAGGAACGUGAG